ensembl:snRNA U6 U6 spliceosomal RNA
GUGUUCCCCUGGCAGCACAUAUACUAAAAUUGAAAUGAUACAAAGAAGAUCAACAUGGCACCUGUGCAAGGAUGACACACAAAUUUUGGAGGUUUUCCAUAUUUUU